CACAGUUUUUACACUACAUAGACAGUAAUAUACCGAAACGUGCGGAUUGUUCCCGAUUGGAUUGCUAUUACUUUGUGGAACGUUUCGCCGAAUGGUUCACGGAAUAUCGUCGUUCUUGUGGUGAAAUUGGUCCCAUAGGAAUGAAUGGCAAAAAUGUUCAAAACUAGAGUGGGAGCUGGCAAAAGCUGAAAAAUAAGGACGAUUUCUAAACUGCCACCACUCCCUCAUUUUCAAGCCCACCUACACAAAUCUUAUAUCAAAACGUUCAGCUAUCCCUGCUGCCACAAAAAAAUGACCACGGCUAAGCCAUAGUCCUGAUAGUUUUCACAAUAUGACCGUUUGUUUGCAACUCACGCCGUCCAUUGACAUUCAUUUAAACUCCUUACUAGCCAGCUCAAAUAUGAAGGGCAAUUUCUAAACUGCGACUGUGCCUUCAUUUUUAAUACUUCAGAAGCAUACUAUGCAUCAAAAUGUAGGUCUGGAUCUUGUGAUUCUCACAAUAUAAAGGUCUUCGUUGUAGGAUUUAUAGUUUGUAAAAUACGACCGUUUGAAGAGGGCAACUGCCAAAAUACUCUGACCUGUGCCAGGCUAGAGUAGCAAGUAAUUGCAUAGGCAGGGCCUUUUGUACACCUGCUAAUGUUUUUGUAAAUGUAUGUUUUAAUGUAACUGUGAAGCACUUUGGGCAACAACGUUGCAAUUAAAUGUGCUAUAUGAAUAAAUAUAGCUUUUGCCAGC